rnacentral:snoRNA from 1 species
UUCCCCUUAGUGUUAUAACUUAAUAAGUUAUUAUGCAUAUAAGGUAAA